GUCCGUGGUGACCACGAAUCACGGAGAACUGGGCUCUGCUAUUGAAGACAAGGGAGGAGCCUUUUUUCGACGGGAAGAGUGCCUUGCCGAUCCGACUGCUGUUGACCAUUAAGCUCUGGUUUUCAUCAUUGCAAGUUUUCUUUUUUCCUACCUGGUGCGUCAGUCUGUUGCGGUCAAUUUUUUUAUCGCCUGUCGUCGGGAACGAAAAUCUGCAAAACAACGUCCACACUGACAGGAG
rnacentral:lncRNA from 1 species